rnacentral:rRNA from 1 species
AACGAACGCUGGCGGCAUGCCUAACACAUGCAAGUCGAACGAGACCGUCGGGUCUUUGUGCGCACGGGUUCGGAACGCGAGGGGAGCGUCCCGUAUGUUCGGUAUAACUCCCCGAGAGGGGUGCUAAUACCAGACGAUUUCUUCUGACGCAUGAUUUAUCGCCUUUGGAUGGGCCCGCGUUGGAUUUGCUAGUGGGUCGCGUAAAAGCCAACCAAGGCGACGUUCCAUAGCUGGUGUGAGAGGAGGACCAGCCACACUGGGAGUGAGACACGGCCCAGACUCCUACGGGAGGCAGCAGUGGGGAAUAGUGGACGAUGGGGGAAAGCAUGAUGCAGCCGUGCCGCGUGAGUGAUGAAGGCGUUAGGGUUGUAAAGCUCUGUUAACCGGGAUGAUAAUGACGGUACCGGGAGAAUAAGCUACGGCUAACUACGUG